UUGGAGGGCAAGUCUGGUGCCAGCAGCCGCGGUAAUUCCAGCUCCAAUAGCGUAUAUUAAAGUUGUUGCAGUUAAAAAGCUCGUAGUUGAAUUUCGGGGUCAGUAGGUUGGUCGUGCCUAUGGUAUGUACUGGCUUUACUGAUUCCUCCUUCUUGAAGAACUGUAAUGCCAUUAAUUUGGUGUUGCAGGGAAACAGGACUGUUACUUUGAAAAAAUUAGAGUGUUUAAAGCAGGCUAACGCUUGAAUACAUUAGCAUGGAAUAAUGAAAUAGGACGUUCGAUCCUAUUUUGUUGGUUUCUAGGAUUGACGUAAUGAUUAAUAGGGAUAGUUGGGGGCAUUAGUAUUCAAUUGUCAGAGGUGAAAUUCUUGGAUUUAUUGAAGACUAACUACUGCGAUAGCAUUUGCCAAGGAUGUUUUCAUUAAUCAAGAACGAAAGUUAGGGGAUCGAAGACGAUCAGAUACCGUCGUAGUCUUAACCAUAAACUAUGCCGACUAGGGAUCGGAUGAUGUUAAUUUUUUAAUGACUCAUUCGGCGCCUUACGGGAAAC
rnacentral:rRNA from 1 species